CUGAAGAACUCCGACACCACCAGGAUGGGGAGCAGGUCACCAGGAUCAUAGCUCAGUCAAGAUGACAUCACGCCCUGGAACUGGAUUUCAACUCAUCAGCCACUGGCCUCAUAACAGGAACUCAUGCAGCUCAUCUUUUCCCAGGUUUCACAAAGAGGGAGGAAGGGAACACCUUCCCAGUCAGUCAGAACAUCUGAGUCAACCCUAGUGAUUAGUGGCAUGACAACUGAAGCAGCCAGCUCACCUCACAUGCAAAGAAUUUCAGACGUUCCUGUGGGCCGGCCGGCAGCAGUCUCCUUACUGCAAGGGUGUGAGCGGACAGUAACGACGUCUUCUCUGUCCUCAGAAGAAAUUUCUCUCCGGUGGCCACCCACUUGGGCACUAGGACUUCAGGCCAGGCUGAUAAGAAUUGGAAUAUGGAGGACAAAAUCCUUCGGCACAGCAACAGGGCUUUCUCCAGGUUCUCUGGCUCAAUUCCGCCCAACCGGUAAUCGACAUCUCCAAGUCACAAAAUGUCGGCUUGGAGCUGCUGUCAUUGGAGAGAAGGGAAAUUGGCACUUGGUCCUUGUUCAUGGCAGUGAUCCUGAAAGGUUUCCUGUUUAACAUUUUAUUUGCAUUAAAAAAAAAUAGCCAGCAUCUCAGAACUGGAGCGGAUUCAGUAUGUGUGCGUAUGCUGUUCACGGGCUGAGGGUGGGGUGGUGGAAUCUUCUGUAGCACGCCGGAAUCAACUCGUCGACAGCAGCCAUUUUCAACAUGAUCCUUGUGUUUGCUUGGCAAAAUCUAGGAUUGGAAAAACAAAAGGUUUUCCUGCCAGAUUCCAU
rnacentral:lncRNA from 1 species